rnacentral:rRNA from 1 species
GCCUACGGGGGGCAGCAGUGGGGAAUAUUGCGCAAUGGGCGAAAGCCUGACGCAGCGACGCCGCGUGAGUGAAGAAGUAUCUCGGUAUGUAAAGCUCUAUCAGCAGGGAAGAAAAUGACGGUACCUGACUAAGAAGCCCCGGCUAACUACGUGCCAGCAGCCGCGGUAAUACGUAGGGGACAAGCGUUAUCCGGAUUUACUGGGUGUAAAGGGAGCGUAGACGGCGCUGCAAGUCCGGAGUGAAAGUCCAUGGCUUAACCAUGGUACUGCUCUGGAAACUGUGGAGCUUGAGUGCGGGAGGGGCA